rnacentral:misc_RNA from 1 species
UUGAUUAAAAUUUGGCUGGGCUUCAAUUUCACACGAGAACUUCCGCACACAAGACUAUUAAAGACUUGACGAGAUCUACUGAACACUGAUCUGCGCCUUCCUUCGCUGAUUGAACGAACUUGUGGCUCUGGAAAUUGAGCUCUGUAGUUCUUUAGAGAGAGAGAGAGAGGUUGUGAGAGGUAAUGGCGAGUGGAGGGUUCGGAGAUCCGAGCCAGAAGAUAGA